rnacentral:rRNA from 1 species
UACGUAGGUGGCGAACGUUGUCCGGAUUCACUGGGCGUAAAGCGCCCGUAGGCGGAUUGUUAAGUCAGGGGUGAAAUCCUGGAGCUCAACUCCAGAACUGCCUUUGAUACUGGCGAUCUUGAGUUCGGGAGAGGUGAGUGGAACUGCGAGUGUAGAGGUGAAAUUCGUAGAUAUUCGCAAGAACACCAGUGGCGAAGGCGGCUCACUGGCCCGAUACUGACGCUGAGGUGCGAAAGCGUGGGGAGCAAACAGG